CACACAGGUAAGACCUUAUGAGUGCAGUCAA
rnacentral:piRNA from 1 species